GUGCCAGCAGCCGCGGUAAGACGGAGGGCGCAAGCGUUGUUCGGAAUUACUGGGCGUAAAGCGCGCGCAGGCGGGAAGAUAAGUCUGGAGUGAAAUUCCGGGGCUCAACUCCGGAGCUGCUUUGGAUACUGUUUUUCUAGGGACCGGUAGAGGCCGGUGGAAUUCCCGGUGUAGCGGUGGAAUGCGUAGAGAUCGGGAAGAACACCCGUGGCGAAGGCGGCCGGCUGGGCCGGAUCCGACGCUGAGGCGCGAAAGCGUGGGGAGCAAACAGGAUUAGAUACCCCAGUAGUCC
rnacentral:rRNA from 1 species